rnacentral:rRNA from 2 species
AGAGUUUGAUCCUGGCUCAGGAUGAACGCUGGCGGCGUGCCUAAUACAUGCAAGUCGAGCGAACGGACGAGAAGCUUGCUUCUCUGAUGUUAGCGGCGGACGGGUGAGUAACACGUGGAUAACCUACCUAUAAGACUGGGAUAACUUCGGGAAACCGGAGCUAAUACCGGAUAAUAUUUUGAACCGCAUGGUUCAAAAGUGAAAGACGGUCUUGCUGUCACUUAUAGAUGGAUCCGCGCUGCAUUAGCUAGUUGGUAAGGUAACGGCUUACCAAGGCAACGAUGCAUAGCCGACCUGAGAGGGUGAUCGGCCACACUGGAACUGAGACACGGUCCAGACUCCUACGGGAGGCAGCAGUAGGGAAUCUUCCGCAAUGGGCGAAAGCCUGACGGAGCAACGCCGCGUGAGUGAUGAAGGUCUUCGGAUCGUAAAACUCUGUUAUUAGGGAAGAACAUAUGUGUAAGUAACUGUGCACAUCUUGACGGUACCUAAUCAGAAAGCCACGGCUAACUACGUGCCAGCAGCCGCGGUAAUACGUAGGUGGCAAGCGUUAUCCGGAAUUAUUGGGCGUAAAGCGCGCGUAGGCGGUUUUUUAAGUCUGAUGUGAAAGCCCACGGCUCAACCGUGGAGGGUCAUUGGAAACUGGAAAACUUGAGUGCAGAAGAGGAAAGUGGAAUUCCAUGUGUAGCGGUGAAAUGCGCAGAGAUAUGGAGGAACACCAGUGGCGAAGGCGACUUUCUGGUCUGUAACUGACGCUGAUGUGCGAAAGCGUGGGGAUCAAACAGGAUUAGAUACCCUGGUAGUCCACGCCGUAAACGAUGAGUGCUAAGUGUUAGGGGGUUUCCGCCC